rfam:Eutrema salsugineum unplaced genomic scaffold scaffold_10, whole genome shotgun sequence.
UCGCCUUAAACUAAUGAGUAAGGAAAACAAAGCGAACGGUGAGAAUCGGUCGCAGCGCAAAACAUAAAUUAGCGCAAGAAUCUUUGGAAGGGAUAUAGGCUGGCCGAGUUGUUGACGCUGUACUUUAACAGAACUCUCUCGUGCGGGCCUCCUCC